UACGUAGGGUGCAAGCGUUGUCCGGAAUUAUUGGGCGUAAAGAGCUCGUAGGCGGUCUGUUGCGUCUGCUGUGAAAACUCGGGGCUUAACCCCGGGCCUGCAGUGGGUACGGGCAGACUAGAGUGCGGUAGGGGAGACUGGAAUUCCUGGUGUAGCGGUGAAAUGCGCUGAUAUCAGGAGGAACACCGGUGGCGAAGGCGGGUCUCUGGGCCGUAACUGACGCUGAGGAGCGAAAGCGUGGGGAGCGAACAGG
rnacentral:rRNA from 1 species